GAUGAAGAACGCAGCGAAAUGCGAUACGUAAUGUGAAUUGCAAAUUCAGUGAAUCAUCGAGUCUUUGAACGCACAUUGCGCCCCCUGGUAUUCCGGGGGGCAUGCCUGUCCGAGCGUCAUUGCUGCCCUCAAGCACGGCUUGUGUGUUGGGCCCCGUCCUCCGAUCCCGGGGGACGGGCCCGAAAGGCAGCGGCGGCACCGCGUCCGGUCCUCGAGCGUAUGGGGCUUUGUCACCCGCUCUGUAGGCCCGGCCGGCGCUUGCCGAUCAACCCAAAUUUUUAUCCAGGUUGACCUCGGAUCAGGUAGGGAUACCCGCUGAACUUAAGCAUAUCAUUAAGCGGAGGA
rnacentral:misc_RNA from 1 species